GAUUGUAGUUUAUUUUGUUCAUUAGAUUCCACAUAUAAGUGAAACCAUAAGGAACUUGUAUUUCUCUGACUGGCUUACUUCACUUCACUUAGCAUAAUACUCACCGGCUCCAUCCAUGCUGUUGUAAAAGUUACCAGAGCUCAGAAGGCUUUGCUUCUCCUUCCUAUCCGUACAGACCUUCCCUGAUGGAAAAUUUGAGAACACUGGAAAACAGGGCACAUGAAGACUUUUCAAGAGUAUAAAGCAGAGAACUGAAGUCAGAGAACUGAAGACAGGAGGCCAGAAUUGGUGGGGCUCCAAAUCCAGCCAAGUUGGCUCCCCCAGAGCAAGCUGCCUCCUGUGUCCAGGGUUUCCUUGUCCUCCCUGAUGGAAAGUCUGACCUUCCGUUCCUAAGACACAUGCUGGUGUCUUCAUGAAUUUCAACCAAUUUCCAAAAGCACCAGUGGGAAAAGAAUUUUUACGGUUAAGGACAGCAAUAGGGACACAGAAGAGACUCUCAUUCAGAACAAUUGGAGCAUAGAAAAUGUUUACAGAUCUGCUUCCGAAUAAAUGAAUGAAUGUCACACUGGGCUCAACGUUUAGACAGGUGCAGCUGCAGAGAGAAUCCAGAGACCACUCAGCUGCUCUGUAGACAUGGGAGCAUCCUCAGAAUGAC